GAGUUUGAUCGUGGCUCAGAUUGAACGCUGGCGGCAUGCCUUACACAUGCAAGUCGAACGGCAGCAUGAUCUAGCUUGCUAGAUUGAUGGCGAGUGGCGAACGGGUGAGUAAUACAUCGGAACGUGCCCUGUAGUGGGGGAUAACUAGUCGAAAGAUUAGCUAAUACCGCAUACGACCUGAGGGUGAAAGUGGGGGACCGCAAGGCCUCAUGCUAUAGGAGCGGCCGAUGCUGAUUAGCUAGUUGGUGGGGUAAAGGCCCACCAAGGCGACGAUCAGUAGCUGGUCUGAGAGGACGAUCAGCCACACUGGGACUGAGACACGGCCCAGACUCCUACGGGAGGCAGCAGUGGGGAAUUUGGACAAUGGGCGAAAGCCUGAUCCAGCAAUGCGCGUGUGUGAAGAAGGCCU
rnacentral:rRNA from 1 species